UGAAUAAUGGCUGAGACAUUAACUGUAGUAGUAAGUUUCAGACUAACAUGUAUUUGUGCUUAUGUGACAGUUUGAGGAAGGCAAUAUGCUAAUGUCAAGAAUAAACAUAUGAGCCCCCAAAUCCAAAGCCCACGGUCACCAUCCAUCUGCCACAGCAGCUGUGAGCCUGACCAUCCCUUAUACUCCUAUGUCAUCUGAAUUUUGGAGCAAGAGGGUGGAUUGAGCUGAAUACUGCAAAUUCUAAUGCAUCACUUUUUGUUCAAGAUAUAUCAUACAGUGACUCCCCACAAUAACUAGUUGUAGUAUAAAAUGUCCUGCUGUCCUGUGAUGGAAUGUGAGAAGCCAUGGCAGCUGAUGAUGCAACUGAAGCGUGGUGUGUAAUCAUUCUUGGUGCCCAACAGAGAAGCCAGAGAAAAGAAGGUAAGGGAGUUAAACCAGGCCACCACUGCAAGAGGAUCCACUGUUGUUAAUGCACACUGGAACAGCUACGUGUUGUCCAUCUUAUACGUUCAGCCUCCAGAAGAAAGCUUGAUUAGUUCAUGGAGAUAACUUUGUUUUUGCUUGUGUUGUUUGUGCCCACCUGGCAUGGACGCUGUGCAAAGCCACGGGAAGAAGAACAUAAAUGACUUCCUGUGCCCAGCUGCAACAGACCCUGCCGUCAGGCCCCAGGAAGAGAAGAAACACAAGUGAAUCUCUGUGUCUCGCUGGAACAGGGCCUGGGGACAAUCCCCCCGCUGCAGAAGAGAAGAAUCGGAACAGGAUUGCUGUAGUUAGCUGGAACGGACUCUGGUUACAGCCCACAUGAAGAGAAGCAAUUAAGCCAAGAUUUCUGUUCUCCCCUGGGCAUAGAUGCCAACAGGAGAAGGGUUUGUGGCUUUGUGUGGCCACCCAAGCAUUUUCUGAACUGCUAGCUGGCAUUACUGGAUAGUUCAGCUCUGCAUACCAUUUGGCUAACUGCAUUUUUGAGGGAAUAACUGCAUUCAGUGAGCUGGGCAUUUGAAAGUCAUGCUGCCUUCCUGACAACAUCCUACUGUCCCUGUCAGUAAUGAAUGGGCAGAGUCAGUAAAAGUUGUGCCCUGCGUCGGUACAUUUUCUUGACAGGUGCUUGGAGCCCUUCCGGCAGUGUCCUUGGUACCAGGCAACAAUCCAUUACCGCGCCCCGAAUACAGAUAGGAUUCGUUCUCUCUCAUCCCCACGCUUCCUGCUGCCCUCGGGCAAUUUGGGGAGGAUCUGAGAGGGACUCGGAUCUCUCUUAGCCCUGUUUUUAUGCAGAUGUAGCAGAGAAAGAAAGAAUUUAAUAAAAAUGGACAUUUCCCUUG